GUCGAGAAUCUUUCACAAUGGGGGCAACCCUGAUGGAGCGACGCCGCGUGGGGGAUAAGGUCUUCGGAUUGUAAACUCCUGUCAUGCGUGAACAAGGUUGCUUGGUUAAUACCUGGGCAAAUUGAUGGUAACGCAAGAGGAAGAGACGGCUAACUCUGUGCCAGCAGCCGCGGUAAUACAGAGGUCUCAAGCGUUGUUCGGAAUCACUGGGCGUAAAGGGUGCGUAGGUGGCGUGGUAAGUCAGAUGUGAAAGCCCGGGGCUCAACCUCGGAACUGCAUCCGGUACUGCCAGGCUAGAGUACUGGAGAGGUGACUAGAAUUCUCGGUGUAGCAGUGAAAUGCGUAGAUAUCGAGAGGAAUACCAAAGGCGUAGGCAGGUCACUGGACAGUUACUGACACUGAGGCACGAAGGCCAGGGGAGCGAACGGGAUUAGAUACCCCGGUAGUCC
rnacentral:rRNA from 1 species